CAGUCGCCGCGGUAAUACGUAGGGUGCGAGCGUUAAUCGGAAUUACUGGGCGUAAAGCGUGCGCAGGCGGUUCGCUAAGACAGAUGUGAAAUCCCCGGGCUUAACCUGGGAACUGCAUUUGUGACUGGCGAGCUAGAGUAUGGCAGAGGGGGGUAGAAUUCCACGUGUAGCAGUGAAAUGCGUAGAGAUGUGGAGGAAUACCGAUGGCGAAGGCAGCCCCCUGGGCCAAUACUGACGCUCAUGCACGAAAGCGUGGGGAGCAAACAGGAUUAGAUACCCCGGUAGUCCCUGUCUCUUAUAU
rnacentral:rRNA from 1 species